rnacentral:rRNA from 1 species
GAGAGGUCCAUCCUGCCCAGUGACCUACGGGUUAAACGGCCGCGGUACCCUGACCGUGCUAAGGUAGCGUAAUAAUUCGCCCUUUAAUUGUGGGCUUGUAUGAACGGAUAAACGAAAGAUACGCUGUCUCUUUUGUAAUAAUAAAAUUUGACCUUCAGGUGAAGAUGCCUGAAUAAGAUUAGAAGACAAGAAGACCCCAUAGAGCUUUGUUUAUUCUGGGCCGAUAUUUUAAUAAAUUAUUUAUAAAAACAAAUAUCUCCCCAAAUUAAUCUUGGCUGGGGCGGCAUGGGAAAUUAAUCUUCCACAUAAACAAUAAAUAAGGCUAAUAAGCCAUAUUUUAAUCAUUUUAAAUGACCUUUUUAUAACCAAAAAUCAAGCUACCUUGGGGAUAACAGAUUAAUCCUUCUUGAGAGUCCACAUUAACAGAAGGGAUUGACACCUCGAUGUUGGCUUAGGGUAUCCUAAGAGUCAGCAGCAGCCCUUAAAGGUAGGUUUGUUCAACCUUUAAAACCCU